rnacentral:rRNA from 1 species
AUAACGCAGCGAAAGCUGUGCUAAUACCGCAUACGAUCUACGGAUGAAAGCAGGGAUCGCAAGACCUUGCGCGAAUGGAGCGGCCGAUGGCAGAUUAGGUAGUUGGUGAGGUAAAGGCUCACCAAGCCUUCGAUCUGUAGCUGGUCUGAGAGGACGACCAGCCACACUGGGACUGAGACACGGCCCAGACUCCUACGGGAGGCAGCAGCG